rnacentral:lncRNA from 1 species
AGAAAGCAGAAUUGCAACAGAAACUCUUGCUGCUGCUAUUGGUUCUGGCAAGCAAGGUCCUGAAACAGGUUAUUGGAAGUUCCUGGUGAUGGCAGCCAUUCUCUGAUUUCUUGCAUUGAGCUUCCAGUUCUCAUGUGUGACAGGCAGUUGGGAAAGCAGCUGGUGGGGAAUGCAGCAGCUUCUUGACAACCGAAUCACAGCUAGUAUGAUGUAUCCUUGAACUAAACAGUCCAGUGGUCAUCCCCUGACUGCUGCUGCCCCAGCUCAUCCAAUCAUUUGGUGGGCCUCAUGCAGUAAGUUGAAGGUUGUAAGAGCAAAGAUAGAAGGCCUUCCCAAAGAAUGAGGACUUCUGCCUGAGGAUAGCAAAUACCAAUUCUGCAUGGGUUUCCUGGCUUCAGACUCAAGAAUGCAAUAUCAACUCUUACUGGAAUUUCUAUCCUACCAGCUUGCCCUGCAAAUUUCAGACUUGCCAGCCCUUGCAAUUCUUCUUUGAUUCCUGGGCCAGGUGCAUAUUUUGCUCCGUGAUGAAGGACAUCAACAAGUUUCUGUUGCAGAAUACCCCCAACAUUCAAACUGGAGUUUGGAGGUGAAGGGAACCUGAAAAAGCUGAUCUACUGGGAUGCAUAAAAUCUGCUUCAGGACUGAUGAAGUUGCAUUUCUGAACUAGUAUUAAAAGGGUGAGAGAGAUUUAUGUGAAACAACUGAAACAUUUCAGUGUCAAAAUACUCCCAAAUACAGAACAACAGAGUAGAUCUGUGUGCUCACUCUUGCAAGAAAGGAAGAAGGAGGAUCUGGAGGAAAUUGAACAAUAAAGCUUCCUAGCUGAAUCCAGUAAAUUUUCCCAACCUCUCCAGAAUAUGAAAAAAAAAAAUGUUGCUUUUCUGUUUUGGUAAUUUUUCACAGUUAUGAAAGAAUUGGUGAGAGCAGUUUAGGAGAUGCAAUGACACUGUAUAACAGAAGAAAAAUAAAAG